GACGAACGCUGGCGGCGUGCCUAAUACAUGCAAGUCGAACGCAGUGGGGACGGGUGAGUAACACGUGGGUAACCUCCCAUCAGAGGGGAUAACACUUUGACACAGGUGCUAAACCGAUACUGAUUUAUGGACCCGCGGUGCAUUAGCUAGUGGGUGGGGUAACGGCUCACCAAGGCCACGAUGCAUAGCUGACAUGAGAGGAUGAUCGGCCACACUGGGACUGAGACACGGCCCAGACUCCUACGGGAGGCAGCAGUAGGGAAUCUUCGGCAAUGGGCGAAAGUCUGACCGAGCAACGCCGCGUGAGUGAAGAAGGUUUUCGGAUCGUAAAGCUCUGUUGGUAGAGAAGCGGUAUCUAACCAGAAAGCAACGGCUAACUACGUGCCAGCAGCCGCGGUAAUAC
rnacentral:rRNA from 1 species